rnacentral:rRNA from 1 species
GAUGAACGCUGGCGGCGUGCUUAACACAUGCAAGUCGAACGAUGAAGCCCAGCUUGCUGGGUGGAUUAGUGGCGAACGGGUGAGUAACACGUGAGUAACCUGCCCUUAACUCUGGGAUAAGCCUGGGAAACUGGGUCUAAUACCGGAUAGGAGCGUCCACCGCAUGGUGGGUGUUGGAAAGAUUUAUCGGUUUUGGAUGGACUCGCGGCCUAUCAGCUUGUUGGUGAGGUAAUGGCUCACCAAGGCGACGACGGGUAGCCGGCCUGGGAGGGUGACCGGCCACACUGGGACUGAGACACGGCCCAGACUCCUACGGGAGGCAGCAGUGGGGAAUAUUGCACAAUGGGCGCAAGCCUGAUGCAGCGACGCCGCGUGGGGGAUGACGGCCUUCGGGUUGUAAACCUCUUUCAGUAGGGAAGAAGCGAAAGUGACGGUACCUGCAGAAGAAGCACCGGCUAACUACGU